AGCGAACGCUGGCGGCAGGCUUAACACAUGCAAGUCGAGCGGGCACUUUCGGGUGUCAGCGGCGGACGGGUGAGUAACGCGUGGGAACGUGCCCUCUGGUUCGGAAUAACUCAGGGAAACUUGAGCUAAUACCAGAUACGCCCUUUUGGGGAAAGGCUUGCUGCCGGAGGAUCGGCCCGCGUCUGAUUAGCUAGUUGGUGAGGUAACGGCUCACCAAGGCGACGAUCAGUAGCUGGUCUGAGAGGAUGAUCAGCCACACUGGGACUGAGACACGGCCCAGACUCCUACGGGAGGCAGCAGUGGGGAAUAUUGGACAAUGGGCGCAAGCCUGAUCCAGCCAUGCCGCGUGAGUGAUCAAGGCCUUAGGGUUGUAAAGCUCUUUUAUCCGGGACGAUAAUGACGGUACCGGAGGAAUAAGCCCCGGCUAACUUCGUG
rnacentral:rRNA from 1 species